rnacentral:rRNA from 1 species
UACGGGGGGGGCAAGCGUUGUUCGGAAUUACUGGGCGUAAAGGGCUCGUAGGUGGCCAACUAAGUCAGACGUGAAAUCCCUCAGCUUAACUGGGGAACUGCGUCUGAUACUGGAUGGCUUGAGUUCGGGAGAGGGAUGCGGAAUUCCAGGUGUAGCGGUGAAAUGCGUAGAUAUCGGAGGAACACCGGUGGCGAAGGCGGCAUCCUGGACCGACACUGACGCUGAGGAGCGAAAGCCAGGGGAGCAAACGGGG